GAUGAACGCUGGCGGCGUGCCUAAUACAUGCAAGUCGAGCGAACAGACGAGGAGCUUGCUCCUCUGACGUUAGCGGCGGACGGGUGAGUAACACGUGGAUAACCUACCUAUAAGACUGGGAUAACUUCGGGAAACCGGAGCUGAUACCGGAUAAUAUAUUGAACCGCAUGGUUCAAUAGUGAAAGACGGUUUUGCUGUCACUUAUAGAUGGAUCCGCGCCGCAUUAGCUAGUUGGUAAGGUAACGGCUUACCAAGGGAACGAUGCGUAGCCGACCUGAGAGGGUGAUCGGCCACACUGGAACUUAGGCACGGUCCAGACUCCUAUGGGAGGCAGCAGUAGGGAAUCUUCCGCAAUGGGCGAAAGCCUGACGGAGAAACGCCGCGUGAGUGAUGAAGGUCUUCGGAUCGUAAAGCUCUGUUAUUAGGGAAGAACAAAUGUGUAAGUAACUAUGCACGUCUUGACGGUACCUAAUCAGAAAGCGACGGCUAACUACGUG
rnacentral:rRNA from 1 species